UAGAAUGAAAAUUCGGCCAAUCACAA
rnacentral:sRNA from 1 species